rnacentral:rRNA from 1 species
GGGGAAUAUUGGACAAUGGGGGAAACCCUGAUCCAGCGAUGCCGCGUGAGUGAUGAAGGCCUUCGGGUUGUAAAGCUCUUUCAGUGGGGAAGAUAAUGACGGUACCCACAGAAGAAGGACCGGCUAACUUCGUGCCAGCAGCCGCGGUAAUACGAAGGGUCCUAGCGUUGUUCGGAAUUACUGGGCGUAAAGGGAGCGUAGGCGGCUUACUAAGUCAGGUGUGAAAUCCCCAAGCUUAACUUGGGAACUGCAUUUGAUACUGGUAGGCUAGAGAUCGGAAGAGGUGAGUGGAAUUCCUAGUGUAGAGGUGAAAUUCGUAGAUAUUAGGAAGAACACCAGCGGCGAAGGCGGCUCACUGGUCCGAUACUGACGCUAAGGCUCGAAAGCGUGGGGAGCAAAC